AGGAAUUGCAAAGUGCUGUCCUAAUGCUAUUGUCAAUUUGAUUAGUAAUCCAGUGAACUCCACAGUUCCUAUUGCAGCUGAAGUUUUCAAGAAAGCAGGCACUUAUGAUCCAAAGAAGCUUCUUGGAGUUACCUCACUUGAUGUUGUGAGAGCUAACACUUUUGUGGCAGAAGUCUUGGGACUAGAUCCUAGGGAAGUAGAGGUUCCUGUCGUUGGAGGUCAUGCUGGGGUGACAAUUUUGCCUCUUCUCUCACAGGUCAAGCCUCCUUGCUCCUUCACACACGAGGAAACAGAAUAUUUGACUAAGCGCAUUCAAGAUGGAGGAACAGAGGUUGUUGAGGCAAAAAAAGGGGCUGGAUCUGCAACUCUAUCUAUGGCAUAUGCAGCUGUAAAAUUUGCAGAUGUUUGUCUCAAGGGCUUAAGAGGAGAUGCCGGUGUGGUGGCUUGUGCUUUUGUAGCUUCUCAGGUCACAGAACUCCCUUUCUUUGCCUCCAAAGUACGACUUGGCCGUACUGGAGCUGAAGAAGUCUAUCAACUUGGUCCCCUAAAUGAGUAUGAGAGGAUUGGACUGGAGAAGGCCAAGAAAGAGCUUGCUGAGAGCAUUCAGAAAGGAAUUUCCUUCAUCAGGAAUUAGAAUUGAGUUUCAAAUUCAGUAAUACCUUUUCUGAUUGUCUGGUAAAUAUUAUAAAUGAAAUGUUUGUCUGUUAAGUACAAUGCUUUUAAUAAAGAGCAUCUACAUUUCGUCUGUGCAACGAAUAUUAUUCAAAUAUAAGCUUCAUGUGCUUUGCUAGUUUUGGUAAAAGAAAAAAAGAACCAAUUCUUAUGUG
rnacentral:misc_RNA from 1 species